rnacentral:misc_RNA from 1 species
AGCUGAAUGCUAGGAUUGAAUAUGCAAAGUUUCUACAAGAAACAGUCAAAGAGAUGGCAAAGGAAGUUAAAAACUCUCGAAGCGGAGAACUAAAGAAUACAGCUGAGGAUCUUGAUGAAUUCAUGAAUAAGGUCAGAAGGGGUGCUAGUGUAUCUAAUGAGGAAAUUUUAGGAUUCGCCAAGCUUUUCAAUGAUGAGCUCACACUGGAUAAUAUCAGCAGACCGAGGUUGGUGAAUAUGUGCAAAUAUAUGGGUAUUAACCCCUUUGGAACUGAUGCAUACUUGCGCUUCAUGCUUAGAAAGAGGCUCCAAAAGAUCAAGAACGAUGACAAGAUGAUUCAAGCAGAGGGUGUUGAGUCCCUUUCAGAGGACGAGCUCCGUCAAGCCUGUCGAGAACGAGGCUUACUUGGAUUACUCUCAGUAGAAGAAAUGCGACAGCAGUUGCGAGAUUGGCUGGACUUAUCACUCAACCAUUCAGUGCCAUCUUCUUUAUUAAUCCUUUCUAGAGCCUUCACAGUGUCAGGCAAAGUAAAACCAGAGGAAGCUGUUCAAGCUACACUUUCAUCACUGCCAGAUGAGGUGGUCGACACUGUUCAAGUUACAUCUUUGCCAUCUGAAGAUGCUCUUGCUGAAAAGAAGAGAAAGCUAGAGUUCUUAGAAAUGGAGGAAGAGCUCAUCAAGG